CCUACGGGAGGCAGCAGUGGGGAAUAUUGGACAAUGGGCGAAAGCCUGAUCCAGCCAUGCCGCGUGUGUGAAGAAGGCCUUCGGGUUGUAAAGCACUUUCAGUGGGGAAGAAAGCCUUGGGGCUAAUACCCUCGAGGAAGGACAUCACCCACAGAAGAAGCACCGGCUAACUCCGUGCCAGCAGCCGCGGUAAUACGGAGGGUGCGGCGUUAAUCGGAAUUACUGGGAGUAAAGCGACGCGUAGGCGGUCUGAUAAGCCGGUUGUGAAAGCCCCGGGCUCAACCUGGGAACGGCAUCCGGAAUUGUCAGGUUAGAUUUGAGGAGAGGAAGGGAGAAUCAGCGGUGUAGCGGGGAAAUGCGUAGAAAUCGGGAGGAAGACGAGUGGAGAGGGAGGCCUUCUGGACGAAAACUGACGCUGAGGUGCAAAGGCGGGGGUAGAAAACGGGAUUAGAUACCCUGGUAGUC
rnacentral:rRNA from 1 species